GCAAUUCGUAUUAACUUUGGACUCUAGCUGCUAUAAUCAAUUUUAAAGCAAAAUCACGAUAGAGCAUUUUCCUUAUGAUUUUCUAGGAUUCAUCCUAAUUUGAAAAAAUAAAUGGAGUGAUUAAUCGGCCUACUCUUGUUUUAUUAAUGUGAUUAUCCAUAAGCUUUAUUUUUAUUUAUAAAUUCGUCAAUGAAAGAUAAAAAAAAAAUUCUUGGAAAAGACUAUUGUUUAGGAUUAGGGGUUGCGAAGUGACAUUUUGGAGGGUAGGAACAUUACCAGUCCCAGCGUCCCAGGAUACGUUGCUCUGCACACAAAAAUUCGCGAGCAGCCAACGCCGUGUCGACACCAAAAAAAAAUCUUGGAAAAGACUAUUGGUUAGGAUUAGGCGUUGGGAAGUGAAAUUUUGGGAGGUAGGAACAUUACCAGUCCCAGCGUCCCAGGAUACGUUGCUCUCCACACAAAAAUUCGCGAGCAGCCAACGCCGUGUCGACACCAUUGCCCAAUAUUGAGAUACUCCGCACGGGUAAAAGAUUUAAAAAUGGGAAAUGUAAGAAGAAAGAAACGAAAAAACACCAAGACAAUUUUGUGGUCAUUUCACACAAGAUUAACAAGAAUAUCUUACAUUAUCUCAAUCUAUCGGUACUGAAUUGUUAAUUAGAUCCUUAAUCUGAAAAAAUUCCACCAUGAAGUAUAGAAUAUGGACACUCCUUCGUGCAGCCUGGCUGCCUGACUCCUAUCCAUGAUUUCACUUCACAAGGGAAUGUCCGAACUCUGCAGUUGUCCAAAGAAAACCCGGGCCAACGAUUGGUGAAAACUGUCUAAGUGACAUGGGCAAAGUAUCUCUCUGUUUCUUCAUUUUUGUCUAAUCGGGUGGCUUUUUGCUAAAGCCAGCUCGUUCCUAUCUAAUCUGAGCUUAACCUCGGUCGUGUCUGCUCAUAAUUCAUCUAGAACUUUUGCUUAACAGGAAUUACCUUACCGAUUAACUAGAGAAUGGUGAAGAACUAGUUGAAACCUCUGGAAAAUAGUUAUUGUUUUCUUAGUUUAACAUUCAGCUCUCUAUCAGAAAUAUAAUUAGACUCUGGAUAUUUAUUAAAAAAAAAGCAUUAAUUUGACUCUAUCACUCGGACUGAAUAGUGAAUGUUAAGAUAAUCUAAUCUAAUGGAGACCCGUUUGGAUAAGCGUCGUCUAGCAAUUAUUCAAAUAAUAAAGGUUAAAACCGUAGGACCACUUUUUUAAAGGUCUAACAUUUUG
rnacentral:lncRNA from 1 species